rnacentral:rRNA from 1 species
GAUGAACGCUGGCGGCGUGCCUAAUACAUGCAAGUCGAGCGAGCAGACGAGGAGCUUGCUCCUUCGACGUUAGCGGCGGACGGGUGAGUAACACGUAGGUAACCUACCUAUAAGACUGGGAUAACUUCGGGAAACCGGAGCUAAUACCGGAUAAUAUUUCGAACCGCAUGGUUCGAUAGUGAAAGAUGGCUUUGCUAUCACUUAUAGAUGGACCUGCGCCGUAUUAGCUAGUUGGUAAGGUAACGGCUUACCAAGGCAACGAUACGUAGCCGACCUGAGAGGGUGAUCGGCCACACUGGAACUGAGACACGGUCCAGACUCCUACGGGAGGCAGCAGUAGGGAAUCUGCCGCAAUGGGCGAAAGCCUGACGGAGCAACGCCGCGUGAGUGAUGAAGGUCUUCGGAUCGUAAAACUCUGUUAUUAGGGAAGAACAAACGUGUAAGUAACUGUGCACGUCUUGACGGUACCUAAUCAGAAAGCCACGGCUAACUACGUG